GAUGAACGCUGGCGGCGUGCUUAACACAUGCAAGUCGAACGAUGAAGCCCAGCUUGCUGGGUGGAUUAGUGGCGAACGGGUGAGUAACACGUGAGUAACCUGCCCUUAACUCUGGGAUAAGCCUGGGAAACUGGGUCUAAUACCGGAUAGGAGCGUCCACCGCAUGGUGGGUGUUGGAAAGAUUUAUCGGUUUUGGAUGGACUCGCGGCCUAUCAGCUUGUUGGUGAGGUAAUGGCUCACCAAGGCGACGACGGGUAGCCGGCCUGAGAGGGGGACCGGCCACACUGGGACUGAGACACGGCCCAGACUCCUACGGGAGGCAGCAGUGGGGAAUAUUGCACAAUGGGCGCAAGCCUGAUGCAGCGACGCCGCGUGAGGGAUGACGGCCUUCGGGUUGUAAACCUCUUUCAGUAGGGAAGAAGCGAAAGUGACGGUACCUGCAGAAGAAGCACCGGCUAACUACGUG
rnacentral:rRNA from 1 species